AAAACAGAAAGUUACUGCUUUGCUAUUGGUCCGCUGGAUGUGCUUCAACCAAUCACCAGCUGAAUAUGGCGUAUCUUCUGCUGACAAUAAACGUGCUUUUAUGAUAAACUACCGAGAGAUCCGGUACAAAACAAUCUUGAAAAUUUGCUGGAUGACUUCUGAACGACCAAAAGUGACAUGAAGGAACAAGUCAAACCCAUCUCCCAAGAUGGCCUGGACUUCGGAAAACCACAGGGGGCCCGGGGGGCCGUGUGGCUCGGCUCUUCACAGUCAGUGUGAACGGGACCAGCGCUCGGAGCCGGCCCUGGUGGAACACGGCGCACUCCCAAGCGUUCCGCGCCAGCGUGACGUUCCUCACCACGAGCCGGA